rnacentral:rRNA from 1 species
AACGAACGCUGGCGGCAGGCUUAACACAUGCAAGUCGAACGCCCCGCAAGGGGAGUGGCAGACGGGUGAGUAACGCGUGGGAACAUACCCUUUCCUGCGGAAUAGCUCCGGGAGACUGGAAUUAAUACCGCAUACGCCCUACGGGGGAAAGAUUUAUCGGGGAAGGAUUGGCCCGCGUUGGGUUAGCUAGUUGGUGGGGUAAAGGCCUACCAAGGCGACGAUCCAUAGCUGGUCUGAGAGGAUGAUCAGCCACAUUGGGACUGAGACACGGCCCAAACUCCUACGGGAGGCAGCAGUGGGGAAUAUUGGGCAAUGGGCGCAAGCCUGAUCCAGCCAUGCCGCGUGAGUGAUGAAGGCCUUAGGGUUGUAAAGCUCUUUCACCGAUGAAGAUAAUGACGGUAGUCGGAGAAGAAGCCCCGGCUAACUUCGUGCCAGCAGCCGCCGUAACAC